rnacentral:rRNA from 1 species
CAGACUCCUUCGGGAGGCAGCAGUGGGGAAUAUUGCACAAUGGGCGAAAGCCUGAUGCAGCGACGCCGCGUGAGGGAUGACGGCCUUCGGGUUGUAAACCUCUUUCAGUAGGGAAGAAGCGAAAGUGACGGUACCUGCAGAAGAAGCGCCGGCUAACUACGUGCCAGCAGCCGCGGUAAUACGUAGGGCGCAAGCGUUAUCCGGAAUUAUUGGGCGUAAAGAGCUCGUAGGCGGUUUGUCGCGUCUGCCGUGAAAGUCCGGGGCUCAACUCCGGAUCUGCGGUGGGUACGGGCAGGCUAGAGUGAUGUAGGGGAGACUGGAAUUCCUGGUGUAGCGGUGAAAUGCGCAGAUAUCAGGAGGAACACCGAUGGCGAAGGCAGGUCUCUGGGCAUUAACUGACGCUGAGGAGCGAAAGCAUGGGGAGCGAACAGGAUUAGAUACCCUGGUAGUCCAUGCCGUAAACGUUGGGCACUAGGUGUGGGGGACAUUCCACGUUUUCCGCGCCGUAGCUAACGCAUUAAGUGCCCCGCCUGGGGAGUACGGCCGCAAGGCUAAAACUCAAAGGAAUUGACGGGGGCCCGCACAAGCGGCGGAGCAUGCGGAUUAAUUCGAUGCAACGCGAAGAACCUUACCAAGGCUUGACAUGGGCCGGAUCGCCGCAGAGAUGUGGUUUCUCCUUUUGGGGCCGGUUCACAGGUGGUGCAUGGUUGUCGUCAGCUCGUGUCGUGAGAUGUUGGGUUAAGUCCCGCAACGAGCGCAACCCUCGUUCCAUGUUGCCAGCACGUAGUGGUGGGGACUCAUGGGAGACUGCCGGGGUCAACUCGGAGGAAGGUGGGGACGACGUCAAUCAUCAUGCCCCUUAUGUCUUGGGCUUCACGCAUGCUACAAUGGCCGGUACAA